GGCUCAGGAUGAACGCUGGCGUACAGGCUUAACACAUGCAAGUCGAGGGGCGAUCACGUGAGGCAGCAAUGCAUCUGGGUGGCGACCGGCGAAUGGGUGAGUAACGAGUAUCCAACCUGGCCCAUACUCGGGCACAGCCCCGCGAAAGCGGGAUUAAUGCCCGAUGCGGCGUAUCUCCCGCAUGGGAAUUACGUCAAAGGUAUAAACUGGUAUGGGAUGGGGAUGCGUCCGAUUAGCUAGACGGCGGGGUAACGGCCCACCGUGGCGAUGAUCGGUAGGGGUUCUGAGAGGAAGGUCCCCCACAUUGGAACUGAGACACGGUCCAAACUCCUACGGGAGGCAGCAGUGAGGAAUAUUGGUCAAUGGCCGCAAGGCUGAACCAGCCAAGUAGCGUGAGGGAUGAACCCGCCCUAUGGGUCGUAAACCUCUUUUGCACGGGAAUAACCGCACCCACGCGUGGGUGCCUGCAUGUACCGUGCGAAUAAGCAUCGGCUAACUCCGUGCCAGCAGCAGC
rnacentral:rRNA from 1 species